rnacentral:rRNA from 1 species
AUACGUAGGGUGCAAGCGUUGUUCGGAAUUACUGGGCGUAAAGCGAGUGUAGGCGGCUUCGUUAGUCGGAUGUGAAAUCCCAGGGCCCAACCCUGGAACUGCAUCCGAUACUGCGAAGCUAGAGUCCUGGAGAGGAUGGCGGAAUUCCGGGUGUAGAGGUGAAAUUCGUAGAUAUCCGGAGGAACACCAGUGGCGAAGGCGGCCAUCUGGACAGUGACUGACGCUGAGAUUCGAAAGCGUGGGGAGCAAACAGGAUUAGAUACCCGAGUAGUCC